AUUUGUCAAUGAUUCGGCACUCCUUCGGUUUUGUUAUCCAUUUUUAGACAGUAAUGAGAUCAUCUGCACACUCCACAGAGCUCCAGAGUUACUGUUCAUAGCAAAAGUGUAAUGCUGUCCUUGGAGAUUUUCACCUAAGACUGUGAGUUGAACAGAGUGCCGAUUAUUAUCGACAGCUACGUCCACCCGGGGUGAAAGUAGUGUGGGAGACCAUCAGGACCCAGCUGGGUUUCCUUGGUCCAGAGGUUUGGAGAAACCUCUUCCUUUUCUUUCAUCACAGCUGUCCUGUGCCAGAUGUUCUGUUGACCCACUGAGAGAGGCGUGUUUGAGAAAGAUCAGGAAGACUGAAGCUCAUGGUAGGAAUGAAGGAGGACCUUGUGAGCUCCACCAGCAGCUCCCUCACAAGGAACUGUUCACAAGUCCACUGCAGGCACGCCCCAGAAGAUGGAUAAAGGCAGCGUUUCAUGAAGACACUGGAACCAAUCUAUCUUCAUAACAGCAGGAUAAAGACAUGGUGAUAAAUGAGUGUGUGGGCCGUCUGCUGAGGACCAGGAGCUCAGGACACUCAGACGGGGGCGUCGCAGCAGGAGUCACCGCGCACCACAAUCCUCUGCUGUUCUGAGAUGUCACACUCCUGCCUGCACAUAGAAACCACAGUGAAGUCAAAGUUCCACCUGCACCUCCACCUGUUCUUGCAACAGCAUGAACACUGACAGAGGAGGAAGGUGGAGGCGCAGCUCCAGCAGAGCAACACCAGAGGU